rnacentral:sRNA from 1 species
UCUUUCUCUCUCUCUCAUGCUUUUAAUGUCGGCAAAGCGGCAGAGAGCGACUAAAUUUUGUAGGCGGCUAUAAACAAAAAUAUGUCUGUCUAGUAGAAAAAAGUUAAACAGUUGCUGUUUUAAAUUUUGCAACAAGCGUUUUAUAUUCAAUCCCCAUUUCUUCAACCCGCAGCAAAGUAGUUCAUGGAAAUUCAUUCGCAUUGUAUGUGUCCAAUAUGCAUAGUCUUGUUUUUUAAAACACGUUAUUGAUAAGAAAACUAAAAAAGAAAGACAAUUCUCUCGAAAUUAAAAAAAGAAACAAAAUGCCAACACUUUUGACAAAACGUGGCUCUUUGUGUAACUAUUUGGUAUAGCGGAAGCUUUUACUUUGUCGCUGUUUGGUUUUUUGUUUACUUUUGACGAUUUGCCUUCCUACAGCCAGGACUCUGCUUUCAGCAGAGCCCGGCUAAAAAUGAUGCAUCUAUCAAUUGCAAAUUAAAGAAAUGCUUGGAAAAUGGUUUGCUACAGUUUUUCACUGUAUAUCAUUAUAUUAGUGACACAUAUUAAUCGUCAGGUGAAAUAAUAUGCAUCCAAUUUUGAAAUUGCCUUUACUAUAUUAUAACAUUAUAUGCUUGCCCAAAAGAUUCUGUUUUCUUUCCUAUAACCAUGUAUAUUUCUGUGCAGUGCGGGAAGGGUAGGGUAGAUGGUAUCGUCAUAUUUUCAAGAAAAUCAGGCAUAACACAUUAUUUUAUGAUUUAUUUUAAUUUGCUAUUAAUACCCAAAUGUAUAAUGGUAACUCAUGAAACAUACUUUUUUGUAUCUCUAUGGUUUUUUUUUGGGGGGGGGGGGGGGGGCAAAUUUUAUCGCUAUUUUCCCGAAACCGUAAUUUUAUAUCUCGUUUACUUAUAAAAUACAUAAAUACCUUCUCCAGAAAAUUAAAUGGGUUAAACUGAAAAAAAUCAUUCAGAAACAUUUUUUAUGAAAUAUAUAAACUUUAUAAUAUUUAGAAAUAAAACUACUCAUAAUGUUAAUAAAUAAAUACAUAUAAAUAAUUCUAAUAUAAUUUACGUUAUAGGUUAUGUUGCUUGUUUUACUGUGUUUUAUGGGUCACGUGGGUCACGGUGAAUGAAUUAACUCUUGUAUUUAUGCAAUGUUCUUGCUCCAGGUGUUUUGAAAGGAUGAUUCAAUCUAAUGGUUUUUACAUAGAUAUUCCAAAUCAAAAGUUUUAUUGAAUCUUUUACAGUUCUCGCUAAAUUGUAGCAAAGCAACUGGAAUUUUUUCUCUCCCCCCCCCCUCCCCAAAUUUGUCUUUUUUGUUUUGUGUAUAUAUUUUUUAUCAUUUCUUUAUAAAUCCUUUUUUUUUGUUCAAUAUAGUUUUACAUUUACAUGUGUUAUUGUAAAUCUGUUUCUUACAUUGUAUAUUUAAGCAUAUUAAAACAAUGAAAUAG